CCUACGGGAGGCAGCAGUGAGGAAUAUUGGUCAAUGGCCGCAGGGCUGAACCAGCCAAGUCGCGUGAGGGAUGACGGUCCUAUGGAUUGUAAACCUCUUUUGUCAGGGAGCAAAGGGCGCCACGUGUGGCGCUUUGCGAGUACCUGAAGAAAAAGCAUCGGCUAACUCCGUGCCAGCAGCCGCGGUAAUACGGAGGAUGCGAGCGUUAUCCGGAUUUAUUGGGGUUAAAGGGUGCGCAGGCGGAAUGUCAAGUCAGCGGUAAAAUUUCGGGGCUCAACCCCGUCGUGCCGUUGAAAUUGGCGUUCUUGAGUGAGCGAGAGGUAUGCGGAAUGCGUGGUGUAGCGGUGAAAUGCAUAGAUAUCACGAAGAACUCCGAUUGCGAAGGCAGCAUACCGGCGCUCAACUGACGCUCAUGCACGAAAGCGUGGGUAUCGAACAGGAUUAGAUACCCGUGUAGUC
rnacentral:rRNA from 1 species